rnacentral:rRNA from 1 species
UACGAAGGGGGCUAGCGUUGCUCGGAAUCACUGGGCGUAAAGGGUGCGUAGGCGGGUCUUUUAAGUCAGAGGUGAAAUCCUGGAGCUCAACUCCAGAACUGCCUUUGAUACUGAGGAUCUUGAGUACGGGAGAGGUGAGUGGAACUGCGAGUGUAGAGGUGAAAUUCGUAGAUAUUCGCAAGAACACCAGUGGCGAAGGCGGCUCACUGGCCCGUUACUGACGCUGAGGCACGAAAGCGUGGGGAGCAAACAGG